UCUGCUAAUCGGUUUUCCCUCUCUUUGGUCUUGCUUACUGAUUUCUCUUGGGAAUUUCACUCCCAAUACAGAAGUACAGAACAAUUUAUCUCUCUUGUGCUCAACCCAAGAGUUUCGUUAUGGAAGAGCGUGGAGAAAACCAUGAAAAGGACCAAUUUUUAUUGCAAAUCUAAAUGUCAUAGGAUUAUCAGUUACAGAGCAUGUGCUUGAAGACGCCUUCAGCCAUUUUUGUAAAAAUAUCUUUGUCAGAUGGAGUAAUCAGAUAUUAAAAAGCAUCAAUUUAGGCAUAUGCUGCAUCAGAUGUCCUCAACUUCGGUGAAAGCCGCACCCCGGAGGUUUGACCCUUAAAUGGAAUAGUUAUCAAACUGCUUGUACUUCUGCAGGUAUGACAUAACUAUAAGUCUAUCAAACCUUAAAUAAUGACAUGUAAUCUAUUUAACAGUUUCUGGAGAAGCUAAAUAGUGAAAUGCUUGAAUAUUGGGUAUUCUUCUCAUAUGAGUGCAAAGGACACAAAAUAAGCAGUAUAUCAUCAGGUGUUGCAGCAGUGAUAGAAGGAUAAAUUUCUGUCAUCAGUUCUUUUCUUGAAGGCACCAUUUAAAUGUUAUUUAACAAGAUGAUAGAUCAAAAGAAUGGCAAUAUACAUGCUGAAUUCCAGCGAGCACUGUAGAGCAACUUAACUGAUCACCACAAAAGUUGUCAUGUAAUUUUCAACUUGAUCUUAAGAUUGUGGAUCUGCCGCUGAGAAGGAUAUAGAUACAUCUAUCAUUUUUUGUAUGUGACUGAGAAAAAUUAAAAAAUGAGGGCAUAUCUAUAUUCAACUUGAUCUUAAGCUUGUAGCAAGUACAACAUGCGUCAAGUAUACGCGUGUAUUUUUCCUGUUCUUCGAUAUUGUUUAAAGUGCAGAAUGGAAAAAAAUGGUGCAAAGAAGGAGCACUAACUGCUUUGGAUUUGGUGGCUGAGUCAUCGAAGGAGCACUUCCUAUUUGCAAACUAUCCUGGUAAAUGCAAAGGAUAAGUCUAAUCGCAUACUCCGAGCCAAAUUCACCGGCUGCAUAAGCUUGGACUGGAUUGUCGUUGCCAAGAUGCGCAAUUGAAAAUUUUCAAAUGAAUUGGAUCGUUAGCAGUACUCACUGUUCUGUCGGUGUAUUCGUUCUAUCUAGAGGGCAAUGCUAAUUUUCUAUCACAUAAUGUAAAGAAGUGCUGACUGGCCAACCGGUUCUCACUUACGAUGCAUGCACAGAAAGCCGUUGUUAAUGAAUUUUCGGGAAGAGUUGGGCACAUGUAAAUGGAAGAUUGUGCCUUAUAUGAAGAAGAAUAUAAAGGUGGCGACUAUUUGUGGCCAUGUCGCCACAAAGGUACGACGAUCCUCCCUCUUCUAAAAAUUAAAGUUUAGGUGACGGCUAUUUGUGGCGACCCAAGAAGUUGCCACCAAAAGUAGUAAUAUAGGCCGCCUUUGACCAACGACCUUUUCUAAAUAUUAAGUUUUUAGGUGACGGCUAUUUGUGGCGACUACAGAGUCGCGACGCUUUUUCGACCGACGAUCUAUCUAUCUUCUAAAAUUAAACGUUUUUAGUGACGACUAUUUGGGAGACGUACAGAGCCGCCACUAAAAGUACUUUGUAUACGUCGCCUUAUGUACUGACGACCUUCUAUCUUCCAAUACCUUCUAUCUUCCAAUAAAAUUUAAAUUUUUUUAGGUGAUGACUAUUUGUAGCGACGAAAUGAGUCGCCAAAGUGCUCAUAUCGGUUGCGUUUUACACUGCCGCUUUCUAUGUUCCAAAUUAAAGUUUGUAGGUGACGAUUAUUUUUAGCGACAGAAAGUGUCGCCAUCAAAAGUAUUUAUAUAGGUCGCCCUUUGGACUGACGAUCUUUCUACUAAAAUUAUACAAUUUUAGGUGCAAACUUUUUUUGGCGACUCAUAAAGUCGCCACCAAAUACUCAUAGAUCUUCACUUGGUCUGACGACCUAUUCAGAUGACGACUAUUUGUGGCGACCCGGAUAGUCGCCACUAAAAUUACGGAUGUAUGUUCAUAUAUAUUCUGGCGCAUUUAUUUAAUCUAAUAAUAAAAUAAUAGUAACAAUACAACAGGGGGGAUGCACAUUCAUAUUGGUCCAAACUUUGACUAAAAGUUUUAAUAAAAAUUAUAUGUAAAAUAAAUAAAAUAAAAACAAAAAUACAUUGGAUUAGCCAAUAUUUUCCAUGAGAAAAGUAAUACUUUAAAGAACCAUCUACUUUUCUUCAACAUCUCACUUUCAUGUUUGUUAGUGUUGUUAGAGCGCUACAGGAAAUAAAGUUUUCGUUGAUGAUAUUCGUGGCGACUGCUGGUAAUCGCCACAGAAAGUAGUGCUAUAGGUUUGCCGUUUGGCGUAGCUACACUAUCUAAAAUCUUAACUCAAUCUUUAAAAUUGGAGGUAUUGAAGCUCCAACGUCGUUGUCCAUAUAUUAGCCGGAAAGACACGUGAUCAUAAGCAGUACAUUGUACAAGUUGCAAAUUAAGAAUUAUUGUUUUCUUUAUAAAUUGUUCAUUAAACUUAAACAUGUUAAACGGGUCGUGCCAGGCCAUUGUCAACCCGCUUCAACCCGG